GCUCCUGUGGCCUAGUGGUUAGAGCGCCUGCUCGAAUCCGGUAGGUCGUGGGAUCGAUUCCCAGCCGAGUCA